rnacentral:rRNA from 1 species
CGGGUCGCUUACAACCAUUACGCCAGCAUCCUAGCCGAAGCGCGGUCCUCGGUCCGGGUAGGCUGCAUUGCACCGAGGGCUAUAACACUCCCCGAAAGAAGCUACAUUCCCAAGGCCUUUAUCCAACCACCCAAACCGAUGCUGGCCUGAACGCAACCGAGUGCACCGGGGAGAACCCCGGAUGAUCGGCAGCGUGCAAGUCUGGUUGCAAGCGCUUCCCUUUCAACAAUUUCACGUACUGUUUAACUCUCUUUCCAAAGUGCUUUUCAUCUUUCGAUCACUCUACUUGUGCGCUAUCGGUCUCUGGCCAAUAUUUAGCUUUAGAUGAAAUUUACCACCCAUUUUGAGCUGCAUUCCCAAACAACUCGACUCGUCGAAAGAGCUUCACAUAGGCGAAGGCAACCAGUCACAUACGGGAUUCUCACCCUCUAUGACGUCCUGUUCCAAGGAACUUAGACCGGAGCCACACCCGAAGCAUCUUCUACAAAUUACAACUCGGAGCCUAAAAGACCCAGAUUUCAAAUUUGAGCUGU